GAUUAGUUUUGGAAUAAGGGAAAGGGGGAUGUGAUUAAAAAAAUUGGGUUCAAUUUUUCUCAUUUGAAAUUUCAUAAAUAAAAAAAGAAAAUUUCUUCAAACAUUUUUAUGCCCCACCUACGAUAGUAGAGGGGCAUUAUGUUUUCUGGUCUGUGCGUCCGUCCGUCCGUCCGUCUCUCCGUUCAUUCGUCCGUCCGUUCGUCCGUCCGUCUGUCCCGC
rnacentral:lncRNA from 1 species